ensembl:lncRNA
GCUACCCCAUCCUUGGGUUCUCCAGGCAAGAACACUGGAGUGGGUUGCCAUUUCCUUCUCCAAUGCAUGAAAGUGAAAAGUGAAAGUGAAGUCGCUCAGUCGUGUCCGACUCUUAGCGACCCCAUGGACUACAGCCCACCAGGCUCCUCCGUCCAUGGGAUUUUCCAGGCAAGAGUACUGGAGUGGGGUGCCAUUGGCUUCUCCGCCCUAUAGGACUAAAGAAGUGAAAAAUGUUUAUCAGAUACAUCCUGCAUUGAGCUUUCUUUCUGGUUCUGUUUUAACAUAAAAUUAUUUGCCUCCAGCUUGUUCUUCAUUCCUAGGUCCCCCAGCCAUGUCACUGCCCUAUCUCCAGUAACCCAUGAAAUAUGGCCAACAAGCCAGCUGAGCUCAAAGGCCUCAUGGCAAGUGAUAUGCGUUCCCAGUAGGCAGUGCUGUGGAGAAACUGACCAACUCAGGUCUGUGCAGGCUGAUCUCUAGACUUCGCUUCUCUCCCUGAAAACAUCGAUAUCUUACAUCAUAAAUGUAGAGGAAAGGGUUUCACAGUCCAGAGUUCAUCCCCAUAAUAGACAGUGUCACCAUCGGGGCAGGGGCACUGUGAUCAGACACAUCUACCUGGAGUUCUUGGGGUGCCCUGCCAAGGGCAGAUCCAGCCCCUCAUUUGGCAGGGAGCAACCCUUGAGGUGACAGACUUUGCAGCCGAGGCAUGAAGGACAGUGAACUUCCUGGUUCCCUCUCCCUGCAAGUGAGACAGGAGCCCAUGGACAUCCAGCAGCAGCAGGAGCAGUCCUCUCGGGUCAUGAGCUUGGACAAGGAUGGGACCCAUCUGCACCGCAAAGGGCAGGCCUGUAGCUCUCCCACUGGGAGAUGCCAAGUCAGAGUCCCUGAGUACUCACCAUUUGCCCAGGGCUGGGACUUCCAUGAAGCCACCACUGCUGGGCAGAAGGAUGCAGGAAUAAUGUCCAGCACUUCCAGUUCAGGCACUGCCUUCCUGAAGGACUUUCCUUGGGCAACAGCUCAGACCUCACUCCUGCUUCUUCUGGGACUUUUCCUGCUGACUGCUCUUGGUUUCAUCUGGAAACUUCGCCGAGAGAAAGAUCGAGAAUGCUGGACCAAAGAGCAACUCCAAAGAGAGCUCCGUAAGUUCCGUACUUCCUCCUCCCGCAUGUACAAUUUGAGACCCUCUCUUGUGUCAUUGAUCUCAUGAAGUUUCUUUGUUCUACUUUAGGCUGGAGAAAAGCCCAGAAAGUGGAUGGUGAGUAAAUUGAAAUUUUUGUUUUUCAUCUAACACUUUAUCUGCUUCAUUUAAUAAGUUCCUUUCUCCUGAUUCUUUCCUCUGAAGCCUUGCUCAUUCUUGCACCAUCUGGACUUAAGCCAAUAACCCCAGUAGCUCUGUUGAUAUGUCAUGGAUGCCCCAAAGAUUUUUCAAACCUAUUGCCAACACUGAACUCCAUUCCCUUUGCUGUCAACCUGCCCUUCCUCCUCCCCUCCCCUCACCAUCCAAUGCUACCACCACCCACCCAAGGGGGCUCCUUUCUCUCCUUCCCUCAGGGCAAGUCCAUUUACUGCCUAGCCCAGGACCCCGACUCAGGCAUAGAAUACCUCCCCCAAUCUUUCUUUCUUCUUUUGUCAAAGAUCCCUGGGAGUAGAUUAUCAAGACCCUUCUCUCAACAGCAAGCUGCUUCUGUUCCCUCAAGAGCUACUGCUGCCCUUUUCCUUUUAAGACUUAGUUCCUAAAUAAAUGUUAGGAAACAGACA